CCCAGACAUUCUAAGCCUAGAAGCCAGAGCAGGAGCAGCCUUGGAGAAUAUGUUUCACUGGAUGAAACUUGUGUGCCGUUCCUACUUUUCUGAUGCACAGCCACCAGUGUGCAACCAGUUAAUGAGAUAAACAGGUCAGUUAUAACUGGUUAUGAGCUAAAGAAGACCAGAGGUACAACAUCCCACUUCCUUGCCCUCCCAGAAGACGUAAGAGACUGUGGCUUUCACAGACCACAUCUUCACCUCUAUGGCUUAACCUAAAGGAAUGCCUUCAGUGGUAGAAAACUCAUGCCACGGGAGCCAGAAGGAAGUUAUGGCAUCUCAAACUUUCAGAGGUCCCCAAGGGCUGUCGUAGACUACUAAGUGAAAUACUUCCAGGUAAGACUUGGAGGAAUCCUCAAAGAAGCCCAAGCAUAUGGCUACUUAGUCCUGGUCUGGUAUCAAACCUCUCAAGCCAUUGUGACUCUGGUGUUUCAGGAGGUGGCCAACACUGGUCAUUCCCUCACCACCUGCUGAGCUUCUGAUGCUCUCAAAUGGAACCAGAGCAGGGAAGCAUCAUGUGACUGUUCUCCCUACUGAGGUGGAACCAGUGACCUUUCUAAUCAUCUUUUUCUCUGGUCUACUUGGGAAGUAGCCCCAUGCUUUCCGGGCACUUCACUUGCUCUCAGGCUGCUCUCUUCUCCCUCUUCCCGGACAGGCUCACAGAACCACAGCAGAGCACUGGCCAGGAGACCAGAGAAUGCUACUUUCCUCCAGAGCAGCUGUGGUUAAGGUGGACGCUGACGACGCCUGACGACAGUCUUCCCUGUGCACAAAGUCAAGGCAUUUUCUAAGUUGAAUCCACAGUCAACCAGCUUAGUCCAAUGAGUGCUCAUCUGACCGAAGUGUCACAACCUUUGGCAUGCCGUAUCCAUCUUCUCACGUUCCCUUAAGAAGUAAAACCCUGAGUUUUAGCUUGUAAAACUUGUAGCUAUGUUUGGCCAUAUGACUAAGUUCUGGCCAACAGAAUAUGAGCAGAAGUGACAUAUACAAUUUCUGGUUGCACCCCUUAAAUGGAAGAUGUGUCUUUUCAUCCUACUCCUUCUUCUCCCAUCUUAGUGCCUAAAAGUUAGAUGUGUUGACAAGCCAUCUAGGACCAAGCAGAUGAGGUUAAUAUUUUAGGGCCAUUGGUGGAACUGCAGGAUGGAAGGAGCCAACAUAUCAAUAUUAUGUGAGAAAUUAAUCAGACUUAAAUUCUAUAUUGUUCUAUACUGUUUAAACCCCUGUAAGUCUUUGUUAAAGCAGCUCA